rnacentral:rRNA from 1 species
UACGGAGGAUCCAAGCGUUAUCCGGAUUUAUUGGGUUUAAAGGGUGCGUAGGCGGCUUUGUAAGUCAGGGGUGAAAGACGGUAGCUCAACCAUCGCAGUGCCUUUGAUACUGACGGGCUUGAAUACACCUGAGGUAGGCGGAAUGUGACAAGUAGCGGUGAAAUGCAUAGAUAUGUCACAGAACACCGAUUGCGAAGGCAGCUUACUAAAGUGUGAUUGACGCUGAGGCUCGAAAGCGUGGGGAUCAAACAGG